rnacentral:lncRNA from 1 species
UCCACUGUUAAUCUUAGCACAAUAUACUCUGUCUUUGAAAUAUCUCCAUGAAUCAACAUAUCAACAUAUCAACUAAAACUAUAGAUAACACCCUAUACUCGAUGAGCAAUAAGCAGCAUACAUGGCUGCUGCACUUUUGUGGAGUAUAUGGAAGCAUAGAAAUUUAAAGCUUUGGUAUGAUGUAAUAGAGACGAGUUCUCCAGUUGUAGAUCGAGCAAUUAGGUUGAUUGAGGAUUGGAACAAUGCGCGCAGAGCAGCAAGGAUACUCGGGUUGACAACAACAGUGCUUCUAAAGUAAUUAAGUCUUUUGAC